rnacentral:sRNA from 1 species
AAAUAGGCGCGUUAAGGAUUGAAAUGGAAAUCCUUUUUUAUUUUUUUAAAUAAAAAAGAUUGCAAUGUAAAGCCUGACCUGUA